UACAGAGGUCCCGAGCGUUGUUCGGAUUCAUUGGGCGUAAAGGGUGCGUAGGCGGCGGGGCCAGUCUGAUGUGAAAUCCCGGGGCUCAACCCCCGGAACUGCAUUGGAUACUGCCUUGCUAGAGUACUGGAGAGGGAACUGGAAUUUACGGUGUAGCAGUGAAAUGCGUAGAGAUCGUAAGGAAGGCCGGUGGCGAAGGCGAGUUCCUGGACAGUUACUGACGCUGAGGCACGAAGGCCAGGGGAGCAAACGGG
rnacentral:rRNA from 1 species